rnacentral:rRNA from 1 species
AUUAAACGCUGGCGGCAUGCCUUACACAUGCAAGUCGAACGGCAGCACGGGGGCAACCCUGGUGGCGAGUGGCGGACGGGUGAGUAAAGCAUCGGAACGUAUCCUGGAGUGGGGGGAUAACGUAGCGAAAGUUACGCUAAUACCGCAUAUUCUGUGAGCAGGAAAGCAGGGGAUCGCAAGACCUUGCGCUCUGGGAGCGGCCGAUGUCGGAUUAGCUAGUUGGUGGGGUAAAGGCCUACCAAGGCGACGAUCUGUAGCGGGUCUGAGAGGAUGAUCCGCCACACUGGAACUGAGACACGGUCCAGACUCCUACGGGAGGCAGCAGUGGGGAAUUUUGGACAAUGGGGGCAACCCUGAUCCAGCCAUGCCGCGUGAGUGAAGAAGGCCUUCGG